rnacentral:rRNA from 1 species
AACGAACGCCGGCGGCAUGCCUAACACAUGCAAGUCGAACGAUGGCUUCGGCCAUAGUGGCGCACGGGUGAGUAACGCGUGGGAACCUGCCUUUUGGUUUGGGAUAACUCCGGGAAACUGGAGCUAAUACCGGAUGAGCCCGAGCAAUCGGGGAAAGAUUUAUCGCCAAAAAGAGGGGCCCGCGUCCGAUUAGGUAGUUGGUGGGGUAACGGCCUACCAAGCCUACGAUCGGUAGCUGGUCUGAGAGGAUGAUCAGCCACACUGGGACUGAGACACGGCCCAGACUCCUACGGGAGGCAGCAGUGGGGAAUAUUGGACAAUGGGCGCAAGCCUGAUCCAGCAAUGCCGCGUGGAUGAUGAAGGCCUUAGGGUUGUAAAGUCCUUUCGGCGGGGACGAUGAUGACGGUACCCGCAGAAGAAGCCCCGGCUAACUUCGUGCCAGCAG